AAAUUUCCCACAUACUAUCAAUUUAUGACUACAAAUCAGAAAAAUCUAAACCUCUGUCUUAGCACAUUGCAUCUUUAAUAAGACAUUUUUUCCAGAAUGACAUUUCAAGGAUAUCUGGAGGUGACCAAUGGGAUGAUAAUUUUGAGUGAAUUUAGAGUUUUAAUUACUGUUUUAUUUGUAAUUGCAAGUGGGUGCUGUGGAAAAAAAAAAGAGCUAUCAACAAAGGAAAUAAUUGUUCCAAAGAAUUACAUCUGCACUGCAUUCUCUGUCAAAAAAUUCUCAUUAAAAAUGUGUUUCUUUAAAAGUAACUCAAAGCAGCUGAUGAAAUAUAAGAGCAUGGAAAGUUUCAAAUCCCAGAGCAAAUGUGGAUUCAUCAGGGAUCAUUUGCCAGAGACCUGACUCAAUGGCAAAAGACCUUCUCACCAUUUCUCACAUCCCUUCCUGGGUUUCAUACAGAGUGGAUAAAGAACGACUAAGCUACGAACAAGUCUCCCAAAGAGGAGACAAUCCCGUAAACCUUCCCAGGAUCUCUGCGCCACCCCCCGGGGCUGAUGUGCGAGAGAUGGCUGUUACCAAGAUUAUUCCCAAACAUCCUCUAGCUUGCUGGAGACCACAAAGAUCAGUCCUGCCUGAGAGGCCACCGGUGUGCAUCUGACAAAAGAAUAAGAUGAUGGAAAAAUAUGGCCAUCUCCUUGAAGUGGGGGCUGCCGAUGGAAGAAAAGCAGUAGAUGGGCAGAAGACAAGGUCAAAACCCAGGUCGGGCUGACGCUGUCUGGAAGACCAAAAGCCAGCUGCCUUAUCGACGAAUUUAAUGAGCACCUAUUAUGUGUGGGGACACUGCCAAAUGCUGCAGGAAUCCCUUCCCGAGGGUAUUUACAGUCUAUUGAGGAGACAAGGCACAUGUAGACCGAAUGAUUUAAUUAUCAUCUCAGUCUGUCGUAAGAGCGAGAAGAGCAGGGGCUGUGUGUGUUUUGGUGUUGCUGUAUCUCCAGAAGCGAACACAGUGCCUGCUCGGGGAUGCUGUUCCUGCUGAACUAAUUCCCGCCAGAUAUCGUGAGGCCACGUUAGACCAAGGACAUUGGACCCUUCUCUGUGGCCGGGCUGCUCACGGACCCUUGGAUCUCCCAUUGCUAAACCUGUGUAAUGGGCAUAACUUCAUUUUACCCAGUCCACCGUGCAAGAUAUGCACCUUUAAGUAUUUCUUUAACUCAAGUUGUCAUACUUCAUUAAUUCCAAUACAUGCCUUUUCAUGCGUUAGCGUCUCAGAAAUCAGGAUCUUCUCACUGAUGGCAUCUUUGAAUCGCUAUUUCCCGGGUGGCAGGGUGGACGGAAUGGCCCGUGCAUGUCUGAACUUGUUCACAGGCAUUCCUAUGACCGUCCCUUCUGUUGAAGUCUGUGCAUUGUUGGUAGGACCCAAGUUGAGUUUAGUUGCUGUUUGAAACGUUUUCAAAAAGAUCAUCCCAAGUUUCAGGUUUGAGAUGAAAAGUUAUCGUCAACAGAAAGGUUUGGAAACAGAGCAGUGGGGUGCAAAUAUGAUGUUAGUGAAGCAGGUAUUUGUGUUGGGGGGGUCGCUGAAAAGCAACAAGCUCAUACACGGUAAUAGACGUAGAUUACUACAAGCGUUUGAAACUGAUCAUUUUGUUACUGAGUUGUGUACAAAGGCAAUGCCUGUUUGCACACGUCAAGCAAGCAAGCACCCACAUCAGACCUUUUAGAAUGGAUGGCAGCAUCUCGGAAGAAAAUCUGGAGCCAAUAGUGGGGACGCUUGUAAGAAAUGUUUCAUCAUCGAUACAGAGGACAGCGCCGUUCAGAAAAAUAUGAACAUUGAUUCCGAAUGCGUAAACUCUGAAUGCGAAGAUAACUUCAGGAAUUUCUUGACGAAUUUAUUUUCUUUUUUCUGUACGCGUGAGUGUGAUGUAUAAUAAAAGCCUCUGACCCAAUAAGUCUAGAAAAGCUUUUUCAGCAAGCAUAAAAUACAGAUUUUAAGUGAUGAGAAAGCAUUGUUUCAUAGAUUAAUUGGCGUCUUUCUUUCUUAGUGGUACAUAAAUUAAUGAUGCAUUUUACAAUCGAUGGCUUCUGAGUAUCAAUGAAAUAGCUACUUUCUCAUUUGAGUUCCCAUUCCUUUGGGUAUGAGAAAUUAAAUUUCUGUCAGUUCAGCAGCACCCCUCCCCAUGAUCACACUGCAUUCCUGGGGGCUUACCCACAGCUACCAUUUAGACUGAGGACACUGUGUUUGUUGGGCAUGAGUUUCUCUCUGUGCUGGCAGC